GUUCUUGAUCACGACACCAGGGAGCGCUAGUGGCCCAUGAGUCUAAACAUGGACUUAGACUUUACUUUCUAAUUGACAGUGUGUGUCCAUAAAAAAAAUUUCUAAGCCAAGAAAUUUAAGAAGAAAGUACCAAAUAAGGGAUUGGAGGUAGUGAGGACUGAGGAAUCACCAAUUGGAAGAGAGUCGAUCCAUGACCUGACUGCCAGAGUUGGUAUAGAUGAUCAUUUCCCACUGUGUCUUUCAGAGUGGUUAUGCUGCAGAAAACCUGACCAUGAUUGAGCACCUGAAUAUCUCCUCGGCCAUUUCAAAGUGGUCUUGGUGAAAAGCCAGCAGGCCAAGAAGAUUGCGAACGGCAUACUGUAAGUAUCCAGCUUCAGCCUCCAGCUCCCCCCUGAGACUCUCCUGUUUCAGGUAAGUGUCUCUGUGCCUCAGUUUUACCGGUCCAGGAGGAUCGCAGUUGAGGUUUAAGUCCAGGUGAAAGUGACCAGGGAUGUAUUCCAUAUCUUCCAUUAGA